AAGAACCCUGGUUAAGGAACUCUGCAAACUAGCACCGUAUCUUCGGUAUAAGGUGUGCCUACUUUGGUAUAUGGACUUGCUCCAAAAAGCUAGAGAGGUUGCAACAAAGAGUCCCUCCCGACUGUUUACCAAAAACACAGCACUUUGCUAACACGUAAGUGGAUGUAUAAGGUGUGACGCCUGCCCGGUGCUCGAAGGUUAACUGAUGAUGUCAGCGCAAGCGAAGCAUUUGAUUGAAGCCCGAGUAAACGGCGGCCGUAACGAUAACGGUCCUAAGGUAGCGAAAUUCCUUGUCGGUUAAAUACCGACCUGCAUGAAUGGCGUAACGAGAUGGGAGCUGUCUCAACCAGGGAUCCAGUGAAUUGUAGUGGAGGUGAAAAUUCCUCCUACCCGCGGAAAGACGGAAAGACCCCGUGCACCUUACUACAGCUUGACACUGUAGCUUGGAUAUUCAUGUGCAGGAUAGGUGGGAGGCUAUGAUGACUAGACGCAAGUAGAGUCGGAGCCAUCCUUG
rnacentral:rRNA from 1 species